AACGUAGGAGGCGAACGUUAUCCGGAUUUACUGGGUGUAAAGCGCGUGCAGGCGGUGGUGUAAGUCGUGUGUGAAAGCGCCCAGGCUCAACCGGGCGAGGACGGACGAAACUGCAUCACUAGAGGCAGGUAGAGGCGUGCGGAAUUCCGGGUGUAGUGGUGAAAUGCGUAGAUAUCCGGAGGAACACCAGUGGCGAAGGCGGCGCGCUGGACCUGACCUGACGCUAAGAC
rnacentral:rRNA from 1 species